rnacentral:rRNA from 1 species
AAAACAUUGCCUCAUGAAAACUGAUAAGAGGUCCAUCCUGCCCAGUGACCUACGGGUUAAACGGCCGCGGUACCCUGACCGUGCUAAGGUAGCGUAAUAAGUCGCCCUUUAAUUGUGGGCUAGUAUGAAAGGACAAACGAAAGUUAUGCUGUCUCCUAAUAAAAAAUUGAAACUGUCCUUCAGGUGAAGAGACCUGAAUAUAUUCAAAGGACAAGAAGACCCCGUAGAGCUUCAUAUUUAAAUCCCUACAAAAGUAUAUAUUAAUAUAAUCCUUUUAUUCGAAUUAUAAUAUUUAGCUGGGGCGGCUAAGGAAAAUAUAUCUUCCAUAUCCCUUUUAAUAGACCUACAUGUCAUAAACAAAUGACCCUUUCUAAGAUCAAAGAAUCAAGCUACCUCGGGGAUAACAGAUUAAUUCUUCUUGAGAGUCCCCAUUGACAGAAGAGAUUGACACCUCGAUGUUGGCUUAGGAUAUCCUAUAGAUCUGCAGCAGUCUAUAAUGGUGGGUUUGUUCAACCCUUAAAAUCCUACGUGAUCUGAGU